rnacentral:misc_RNA from 1 species
GAUGAAGAACGUAGCGAAAUGCGAUAAGUAAUGUGAAUUGCAGAAUUCAGUGAAUCAUCGAAUCUUUGAACGCACCUUGCGCCUUUUGGUAUUCCGAAAGGCACACCUGUUUGAGCGUCAUGAAUACCUCAAUCUCCAUCUUUUCUUCGGAUUGAUGGGUGACUUGGAUGUUGAGCCCUGCUGGUAUGCUAUAUCAGCUGGCUUUAAACUUAUUAGCCGGCUCUGUACUGGAUCGGUUUGACUCGACGUGAUAAUAUUAUCGUUGAGGAUGCGUGUCUCAUGCAGCCGGAAAGUAUCAAAGCAGCUUCUAGCUUGCCUUUAGUGCACUUUUACAUUUUAGACCUCAGAUCAGGUGGGACUACCCGCUGAACUUAAGCAUAUCAAUAAGCGGAGGA